AACAUUUGUUCGGUUGUUCAUAUGUCUUCAAAUUCCACACAUGAAAAAACACAGUAAUAGAGUAUAUCAAGCAACUUCGAUUUUUGGGUUCACUCCAACCAAACUGUUUGACAUUGAUUUAAGAAUGCCAUUCCAUUCAAGCUGAAGAGUAAGCAAUUGAGCUUCGAAGUCCGACUGCACAGUAAACAAAUAGGAAACAUGAGAUGUCAUUUCCAAAAGUGAACAUAUUGAUGUUGAUUCAGCAUGAUGAUAUCGAAAAGCGUACAAUGGAAAAUCCAGGAUAGAUAAAACAUGCUAAAUGUACUUAAAUUCACAUGUUAUAAGUAAAAACAAAAAAUCUAUAUUUUCCCAUUAUUAAUUGUCAUUAUGCGUUUAUCUAAAUAAAUAAAUAAACAUUCUAGACACCGAUGGCACAAAUUAACUCUGAAAAUUAAGACAAUGUAUGAUAGCGCUUAUGAGGUACAACACACAGAUACUAAACAGAAUUCAAAUUCACCAAGAUCCCAAUAAGGGAUAUAAAUUUGGUAGCUGGAUGGGGUUUUGUACAAAAUAUAGUAUUAUUUAUCAACAUUUAGACAACAGUUCUCUGAGCUUGCUAAACACCCAGAACCUUCACUAAUUUUCCAUAAAAUCUAGGGAACAAACAGAUUAGAUGUCUUCAUCUGCGAUUCUAGCUAAAAGUAUCAUAAACAACACUGCACGCAACAUUGGUGUGGGUUGGGACUUGUCGUUAGAAUUUACCUUGAUAAUAGUGUAUGCACCGGGAGACAUACACGAGUCUAUCAAACCUACUUAUACAAGUAUGAAGUUUACAACGAACCUGCAAUAAAAUUUAUUGUUUCAUGCAGUUGCUUCCAAAUUUCAUGCAAUUACUUCCAAAAAUAAAUUCUACAAAUAGAACUGUCGACUAUAUUGGAAUGUUUUUUUUAUCAAUGUUUGUUUUUUGAGUGGAAUGGUCAGACAAAUAUGAGCAGGAAUUCCAUAGGCUAUGUAAAACCGAUACUCCAUGGAAUAUCUCCAUGUAGUCAUAACCCAAUUAUAAUAAUUAUUUAAGAUGUUAUUUAAAUUUUAAACAAUGAAGUGAUGAACUGAACACACAGGAAGCAUAUCGUUGAAAUGAAAUUAUACCAGAUUAUAUUACUUAAUUGCCUCUAAGUUAACAAUUAGCUCAAGGGGCCAACGAACUUGUCACAAUGAUACCAAGAUGCACUUAAUAAUAUCAAGAACGAAAUUGUAGGAUCAUACUUCUGACAUCAGUUAAAGAUGUGUACCUUGUAUGUGAAUUUCAGCAUAUCCAGGACAUCAAUACCAAAAUGGUGGUUACGUCCUUUGAGGUUAGAUGACAAAGGGUUAGCUGGAUUAUACUGUCCGUUACCUUUAGAAUGAUGUUGCUUUGUAAUUGACACGAGUACACGACCAAGGAAUUGGGAGCACUUAGAAGAAUACCAUCAGCAGAGUUUCUAAUGGAUUCCUGUAUGCAUCAAAAUGAUCACUUUAAUUAUUACAUAAUACUCAAGAGGAAGAUGCAUGACAGGAGUAGAACAAUUGAGGUGUGUG
rnacentral:lncRNA from 1 species